rnacentral:rRNA from 1 species
UACGUAGGUACCGAGCGUUAUCCGGAUUUAUUGGGCGUAAAGAGCUCGUAGGCGGCUUGUCACGUCGGGUGUGAAAGCCCGGGGCUUAACCCCGGGUCUGCAUUCGAUACGGGCAGGCUAGAGUGUGGUAGGGGAGAUCGGAAUUCCUGGUGUAGCGGUGAAAUGCGCAGAUAUCAGGAGGAACACCGGUGGCGAAGGCGGAUCUCUGGGCCAUUACUGACGCUGAGGAGCGAAAGCGUGGGGAGCGAACAGG